GUGAGAUUCGACUGUAUAUACAGCUGUGAUUACCUCAAAUACCACCGAACAACUUCACAUUCUUAAUAAUUAACAUGUCGCAAUAAUGUUGUUAACGCAGGUGUAUUAAUGAAUAUUGCCCAUUGAAGCGAAAUGUCUCGACUUUUAAGUAAAUGUUUAGUUGGUUAAUUUUGUCAAACGUAAACAAUAUACACCUGUUUCUAAAAAUGUUUUGGUUGUAUUUGUUUAUGUGUGACUAAACAUCUGAUUAUGGUCAUCGAUAUAUUGAUAAAAUCAAGUAUAUAUAACCCGGUAUUUUCGUGCAAUCGACACUCAUACGAAAAUUGUUAUAAUUAACACUUUGAUUUUAUUCUCCGCUAAUUAAUAAUUACCUCAUUCAAAAUGAACUUCAAAUUCAUAUACUUGAUUGUAUUGAUCGCACUGCUAUCAAUGGCUUCGAAUGCUCAAGCUCAGAGAGAUAUUAGUAACGCUAGAGGUGGUAAUGUAAGUGCUUAAAAAAUAUUUUUAAACUAAUGUCAUUCUACCAUUCAUAUUAAAU